rfam:Haemophilus influenzae R3021 ctg38, whole genome shotgun sequence.
CCAUCAUCACCACACCUGAUUAUCUUUCAGGCGUGAUUGUAUGUUUGGAAGAUAAUAAAAUAUCUUCCGAGUGUAAUAAAAAUCAGUGUAAAAGCAAUAAAUACCCCUCGGAAGGCAAUUUUCGAGGGGUUUUCUUU